rnacentral:pre_miRNA from 1 species
AGCCCUUCUCUGGCUAGCUUUAGUCCAGUUAGGCCUGUUAAAGCUGCCAGUCGAAGAGCUGU